GAUGAACGCUAGCGGCAGGCCUAACACAUGCAAGUCGAGGGGUAACAGAGGGUGCUUGCACUUUGCUGACGACCGGCGCACGGGUGCGUAACGCGUAUAGAAUCUACCUUGUACUGAGGGAUAGCCCAGAGAAAUUUGGAUUAAUACCUCAUGGUAUGUAUAGAUGGCAUCAUCCAUACAUUAAAGGUUACGGUAUAAGAUGACUAUGCGUCCUAUUAGCUAGAUGGUGUGGUAACGGCACACCAUGGCAACGAUAGGUAGGGGCCCUGAGAGGGGGAUCCCCCACACUGGUACUGAGACACGGACCAGACUCCUACGGGAGGCAGCAGUGAGGAAUAUUGGACAAUGGGGGCAACCCUGAUCCAGCCAUGCCGCGUGCAGGAAGACUGCCCCUAUGGGUUGUAAACUGCUUUUAUACAGGAAGAAACACUCCCUCGUGAGGGAGCUUGACGGUACUGUAAGAAUAAGGAUC
rnacentral:rRNA from 1 species